CACAGUGGCACACUUGGGUUCCGAUAAAAUUAGAACGAUACAGAGAAGAUUAGCAUGACCCUUGUGCAAGGAUGACACUCACAAAUCGAGAACAGGACGUAGUAGCC